rnacentral:rRNA from 1 species
UACAGAGGUCUCAAGCGUUGUUCGGAUUCAUUGGGCGUAAAGGGUGCGUAGGCGGCGCGGUAAGUCGGGUGUGAAAUCUUGGAGCUUAACUCCGAAACUGCAUUCGAUACUGCCGUGCUUGAGGACUGGAGAGGAGACUGGAAUUUACGGUGUAGCGGUGAAAUGCGUAGAUAUUGGGAGGAACACCGGUGGCGAAGGCGGCCCCCUGGACCGGUACUGACGCUGAGGCGCGAAAGCGUGGGUAGCAAACGGG